AUUUUAUACCCCUAAAAACUAUAAUAAUUAUACAUACAAAAUAAAUAGAUUUAAAUUUACUUAAUAAAUAAAUAUAUAUAUACACACACACACCAUUGAACUUCAUGGGAUACGAAUUAUACGAAACUAAUUUCAACGAUCCAGCCGUCAAACAUGUUUGUAUAUACUUCGAGAUCGCAUACGCCAAAAAUUGCAAAAAACAAACAUUCAGAGAGCAAGUAACGGGACAAAACUUUUCGACGGUUAUAAAAAGAAAAAUCACGAUUUAACGGUCAUUUUAACUCUGAUUUUGAUGAUUUUUUGCAGCUACACUCCUUGACCUUAUAUAAAUACAAUGAUUGAAUUCGAUCUUCAAUUUAAAAUAUUUACACUAGUGGAUACCACAAAAUCUUAUAUUAUACUU
rnacentral:lncRNA from 1 species